AUGUUCUCUGUAGCUCUGCUGCUGCUGCUGGCUGCUGCAUCCUAUGUGAAGUGUGAACAGCUGACCCAACCAGCCUCUGUGACUCUGCAGCCAGGUCAACGUCUGACCAUCAGCUGUCAGGUCUCUUAUUCUACUGGCAGCUACUACACAGCUUGGAUCAGACAGCCUGCUGGGAAAGGACUGGAGUGGAUUGGGAUGAAACAUGGUGGUGGAUCUUCAUACUACAAAGAAUCUCUGAAGAACAAAUUCAGUAUAGAUGCUCAGUCUUUCAGUAGCACAGUGACUCUAACUGGGCAGAAUGUGCAGCCUGAAGACUCUGCUGUGUAUUACUGUGCAAGAUACGACCACAGUGACACAAACAAGCUAAAACGCUCUACAAAAACCCCUAAUGGGAACACGUCUUAUCAAACCACCAGAGGGGGAGCUCUAAACCAUUUCUAUGUUUUUUCUUUCUUUCUUUUUUUUAAUUAA